AGCGAACGCUGGCGGCAGGCCUAAUACAUGCAAGUCGAGCGAGACCUUCUGGUCUAGCGGCGGACGGGUGAGUAACGCGUGGGAACGUGCCCUUUGGUACGGAAUAGCCCCGGGAAACUGGGAGUAAUACCGUAUAAGCUCUUCGGAGGAAAGAUUUAUCGCCAAAGGAUCGGCCCGCGUUGGAUUAGGUAGUUGGUGGGGUAAUGGCCUACCAAGCCGACGAUCCAUAGCUGGUUUGAGAGGAUGAUCAGCCACACUGGGACUGAGACACGGUCCAGACUCCUACGGGAGGCAGCAGUGGGGAAUUUUCCGCAAUGGGCGAAAGCCUGACGGAGCAAUACCGCGUGAGGGAAGACUGCCUAUGGGUUGUAAACCUCUUUUUUCAGGGAGGAAUAAAUGACGUGUACCUGAAGAAUAAGCAUCGGCUAACUCCGUG
rnacentral:rRNA from 1 species